AGAGUUUGAUCAUGGCUCAGAAUCAACGCUGGCGGCGCNNUUAACACAUGCAAGUCGAACGAGAAAGGGAGCAAUCCUGAGUAAAGUGGCGCACUGGUGAGUAACACGUGGAUAUCUACCUCUUGGUGGGGAAUAACCUGGGGAAACCUGGGCUAAUACCGCAUAAGUUCGUGAGAAGAAAGGCGCAAGCCGCCGGGAGAGGAGUCCGCGGUCGAUUAGGUAGUUGGCGGGGUAAGAGCCCACCAAGCCGAAGAUCGAUAGCCGGCCUGAGAGGGCACACGGCCACACUGGCACUGAAACACGGGCCAGACUCCUACGGGAGGCAGCAGUGGGGAAUCUUGCACAAUGGAGGAAACUCUGAUGCAGCGACGCCGCGUGAGCGAUGAAGCCCUUCGGGGUGUAAAGCUCUUUCGGCAGGAACGAUAAUGACGGUACCUGCAGAAGAAGCUGCGGCUAACUACGUGCCAGCAGCCGCGGUAAUACGUAGGCAGCAAGCGUUGUUCGGAAUUACUGGGCGUAAAGAGUGUGUAGGUGGUGUCGUAAGUUUGGUGUGAAAUCUCCCGGCUUAACUGGGAGGGUGCGCCGAAGACUGCGAUGCUGGAGUAUGGGAGAGGAAAGCGGAAUUCCUGGUGUAGCGGUGAAAUGCGUAGAUAUCAGGAGGAACACCUGCGGUGUAGACGGCUUUUCUGGACCAUUACUGACACUGAGACACGAAAGCGUGGGUAGCAAACAGGAUUAGAUACCCUAGUAGUCC
rnacentral:rRNA from 1 species